AGAAACCUGUUCAAAGGGUUUGACCGGUUAUUUAACCCAGAAAAGGCCCGGGCUAAAUUACGUGCCCAGCCAGCCGGCGGUAAAUACGUAGGGUGGCCAAGCGUUUUUCCGGAAUUUUAUUGGGGCGUAAAAGCGAACCCCAGGCGGUUUUUUUAAGUUUUGAUGUGAAAAGCCUUUCGGCUUAACCGGAGGAAGUGCAUCGGAAAACUGGGAGACUUGAGUGCAGAAGAGGACAGUGGAACUCCAUGUGUAGCGGUGGAAUGCGUAGAUAUAUGGAAGAACACCAGUGGCGAAGGCGGCUGUCUAGUCUGUAACUGACGCUGAGGCUCGAAAGCAUGGGUAGCGAACAGGAUUAGAUACCCUGGUAGUCCAUGCCGUAAACGAUGAGUGCUAAGUGUUGGAGGGUUUCCGCCCUUCAGUGCUGCAGCUAACGCAUUAAGCACUCCGCCUGGGGAGUACGACCGCAAGGUUGAAACUCAAAGGAAUUGACGGGGGCCCGCACAAGCGGUGGAGCAUGUGGUUUAAUUCGAAGCUACGCGAAGAACCUUACCAGGUCUUGACAUCUUCUGCCAAUCUUAGAGAUAAGACGUUCCCUUCGGGGACAGAAUGACAGGUGGUGCAUGGUUGUCGUCAGCUCGUGUCGUGAGAUGUUGGGUUAAGUCCCGCAACGAGCGCAACCCUUAUUAUCAGUUGCCAGCAUUCAGUUGGGCACUCUGGUGAGACUGCCGGUGACAAACCGGAGGAAGGUGGGGAUGACGUCAAAUCAUCAUGCCCCUUAUGACCUGGGCUACACACGUGCUACAAUGGACGGUACAACGAGUUGCGAAGUCGUGAGGCUAAGCUAAUCUCUUAAAGCCGUUCUCAGUUCGGAUUGUAGGCUGCAACUCGCCUACAUGAAGUUGGAAUCGCUAGUAAUCGCGGAUCAGCAUGCCGCGGUGAAUACGUUCCCGGGCCUUGUACACACCGCCCGUCACACCAUGAGAGUUUGUAACACCCAAAGCCGGUGAGAUAACCUUCGGGAGUCAGCCGUCUAAGGGACAGAGAAGGGG
rnacentral:rRNA from 1 species